rnacentral:RNase_P_RNA from 1 species
ACAGAAAUGUGGUCUGUCGCUUGCUCUCCCUUGAGGAAGCAAGAGGAAAGUCCGGGCAACACAGAGCAUCGCGUUUUCUAACGGAAAGCCGGCGGCGACGUCGGGGCGAUAUGUGACAGAAAAUUACCGCCUCCCCUUUUUUCGGGGGAGGUAAGGGUGAAAAGGUGAGGUAAGAGCUCACCGGCUUCGAUGGCGACACCGAAGGCCGCACAUCCCGCGAGUUGCAAGGCCAAAUAUACCGGCAGUUAAGGAUUGCUCGUCCAUUGCCGGGGGGUAGGCUGCUGAAGCCCGCGGGCAACCGUGGCGCUUAGAUAAAUGACAGACACCGGACCUCCGAGUCCGGCACAUAACCCGGCUUACAUCAUCUCUGUCUUU